rnacentral:tRNA from 1 species
GCCGCAAUAGCUCAGUUGGUAGAGCAUUUCAUUCGUAACGAAAAGGUCGACGGUUCAAACCCGUCUUGCGGCU